UACGAGGGGGGCAAGCGUUGUUCGGAAUUAUUGGGCGUAAAGGGUGCGUAGGCGGUUUGGUAAGUCUUAUGUGAAAUCUACAGGCUCAACUUGUAGUCUGCAUGAGAAACUGCCGGGCUUGAGUAUGGGAGAGGUGAGUGGAAUUCCUGGUGUAGCGGUGAAAUGCGUAGAUAUCGGGAGGAACACCUGUGGCGAAAGCGGCUCACUGGACAGUAACUGACGCUGAUGCGCGAAAGCUAGGGGAGCAAACAGG
rnacentral:rRNA from 1 species